UACGUAGGCGGCAAGCGUUGUCCGGAAUUAUUGGGCGUGAAGCGCGCGCAGGCGGCCUCUUAAGUCUGAUGUGAAAGCCCCCGGCUCAACCGGGGAGGGCCAUUGGGAACUGGGAGGCUUGAGUAUAGGAGAGAAGAGUGGAAUUCCACGUGUAGCGGUGAAAUGCGUAGAGAUGUGGAGGAACACCAGUGGCGAAGGCGACUCUUUGGCCUAUAACUGACGCUGAGGCGCGAAAGCGUGGGGAGCAAACAGG
rnacentral:rRNA from 1 species